rnacentral:lncRNA from 1 species
AUGAAAAGAAAAGUACAUCGUGGUCUUUCCUGCUGAUACUCGCAGCUGUAAUUGGAUUGCUUCUAUGUGUUGUAUCUCCAGCUGUCUGCAUAUACAGAAAAGGCUGGACAAAGACCCCAAACAAGGACCGGGAAAGCAGCACCCUGAGUUACGUCCAGUUUUGUGUUCAGUUUGGAGGAGAGUCCCUGCAGGUGGCUCAUCCUUAACACCACACUUGUGCAGUUUACACACCGACUCACAAGCAGAGGGCGUCAGUACAUUGUGAAGCUGGAUUCAAUCUUUGGCCCGACAAGCAUGAAGUUCAGUUUAAAGCUGAAUAAGAAACAAGACAUAUGUUGGACAGAAAGUACAAGAGAGACGACACAUUUGAUCAUUUAUUAUUUGAUCUGUGUUUCUGUUUCUGAUGCUCAUGUGAAACUUGAAUGCAUAUUUAAUUAUAUUUGAUUAGGUGAUUUUUCUUCAUGUUCUGUCAUCAUCCUGGUUUCUGUUUUUCCUGUUUCUUGUUUUACUUUGUAAAGUAUAGUCCCCUUGUGUCAUGUCUAGAUUUUACAUCAUAUCUUUGUGUUUCCUGCCUUCCGUGACUACUUUGCCCCGCCCUGAUUUAAUCCUGCUUUGUCCAAUCACCCUGCUGCUCUUGUGUCUUUGCCUGCCUCCUCCAGCUCUGUAUGUGUGUGUGUGUGUGUGUGUGUGUGUGUGUGUGUGUGUGUGUGUGUGUGUGUGUGUGUGUGUGUGUGUGUGUGUGUGUGUGGAGACACGUGUACCUGCCCGUCGGUUUGUCUUCUUUGUUUCCUUGUGUUGUCGGUCAUGCUGUGUUUACUCUGGUAAUCCUGGUGUUCCAUCCUGGUUCGUUUCUUUCUUUUUAUCAUAGCCUGCUGCCUCAGUUUUUGCACUCAAAAAGCAAAUUGUAACUAUAAAGUAAAUGUGUGUUUAGAUUGACAAAAAUACUGUUGCUGCACCUUUGUAACCAUUAAAGACAGAACUUACAUGAGAAAAAGACAAGCCCCAGCUCCACAUAGAAGCUGAGGAGAGAAGCUUUUUGUGUCAAAGUUUAAUAAAAAAUAAAAAAAUAGCGUUCAAGUCAGCGUCCCUCAGGAUGAGACACAGUAUGGUUAGAAGGAUAGGUCAAAAGGACAUGAUAGAAGUAAAAUCACUGGCUGAUAUGAUACAAAAAAAGCACUUUUCUACUUGUACAUUAUUUGUUUAUGAGGGAAAUUGUUUUUGAAAUAUCUUACUGAAGUAUGCACUGACUUCAAUGGCUAAAACAUAUUUCCUCUCUCCCCUUUGUGGACAAAAGGCCAAGACAGAAAAAGAAGAAAUUGUACUUAUUCUUUUUUUACUCUGCUG